UGCAGUCGAGCGGAUGNNGAAGAAGCUUGCUUCUUCUGAUUUUAGNNNNNNNNNNGUGAGUAACACGUGGGCAACCUACCUUGAAGAUUGNNAUAACUCCGGGAAACCGGGGCUAAUACCGAAUAAUCCAUUUUGCUUCAUGGCGAAAUGUUAAAAGGCGGCGAUCUCGCUGUCACUGCAAGAUGGGCCCGCGGCGCAUUAGCUAGUUGGUAAGGUAACGGCUUACCAAGGCGACGAUGCGUAGCCGACCUGAGAGGGUGAUCGGCCACACUGGGACUGAGACACGGCCCAGACUCCUACGGGAGGCAGCAGUUGGGAAUCUUCCACAAUGGACGAAAGUCUGAUGGAGCAACGCCGCGUGAGUGAAGAAGGUUUUCGGAUCGUAAAACUCUGUUGUAAGGGAAGAACACGUACGAGAGUAACUGCUCGUACCUUGACGGUACCUUAUUAGAAAGCCACGGCUAACUACGUGCCAGCAGCCGCGGUAAUACGUAGGUGGCAAGCGUUGUCCGGAAUUAUUGGGCGUAAAGCGCGCGCAGGCGGUCCUUUAAGUCUGAUGUGAAAGCCCACGGCUCNACCCGUGGGGGGNCAUUGGNAACUGGGGGNNUUGAGUACAGAANANGAAAGCGGAANUNCNANUGUAGCGNUGAAAUGNNUANAGAUUU
rnacentral:rRNA from 1 species